GCAUAUCAAUAAGCGGAGGAAAAGAAACUAACAAGGAUUCCCCUAGUAACGGCGAGUGAAGCGGGAAGAGCUCAAAUUUGAAAUCUGGUGGCCUCAGGUCAUCCGAGUUGUAAUCUAUAGAAGUGUUUUCCGUGCUGGCUCAUGUACAAGUCCCUUGGAACAGGGCGUCAUAGAGGGUGAGAAUCCCGUCCUUGACAUGAACUACCAGUGCUCUGUGAUACAUUUUCAACGAGUCGAGUUGUUUGGGAAUGCAGCUCAAAAUGGGUGGUAAAUUCCAUCUAAAGCUAAAUAUUGGCGAGAGACCGAUAGCGAACAAGUACCGUGAGGGAAAGAUGAAAAGCACUUUGGAAAGAGAGUUAAACAGUAUGUGAAAUUGUUGAAAGGGAAACGAUUGAAGUCAGUCGUGCUCUUUGGAUUCAGCCGGUUCUGCCGGUGUACUUCCUUUGAGUGGGGUCAACAUCAGUUUUGAUCGCUGGAUAAAGGCUGGAGGAACGUAGUACCCUCGGGUAAACUUAUAGCCUCCUGUCACAUACAGUGGUUGGGACUGAGGAACGCAGCACGCCUUUAUGGCCGGGAUUCGUCCACGUACGUGCUUAGGAUGUUGACAUAAUGGCUUUAAACGACCCGUCUUGGAAACACGGACC
rnacentral:rRNA from 1 species